rnacentral:rRNA from 1 species
UACAGAGGUCCCGAGCGUUGUUCGGAUUCACUGGGCGUAAAGGGUGCGUAGGUGGCUUGAAAAGUUUGAUGUGAAAGCUCAGGGCUUAACCCUGAAAUGGCAUUGAAUACUGUCGAGCUGGAGGUUUGGAGGGGGGACUGGGAUUCUUGGUGUAGCAGUGAAAUGCGUAGAUAUCAAGAGGAACACCAGUGGCGAAGGCGAGUCCCUGGACAACACCUGACACUGAGGCACGAAAGCUAGGGGAGCAAACAGG